rfam:Hordeum vulgare subsp. vulgare, WGS project CAJW01000000 data, contig: morex_contig_122365
UAUAUACUCCCUCCGUUUCAAAAUUAUUGUCUUGUAUUUGUCUAGAUAUGGAUGUAUCUAGUCACCUGUUAGUAUUUAGAUGCAUCCAUAUCUAGAAAAAUGUAAGACAAGAAUUUUGGGACGGAGGAAGUAUAUC